rnacentral:ncRNA from 1 species
CUGUGAUGUGUGUCACAUAAAAAUAAUGAUAUCUACAGGAGCAACUUAUGAAAUUAAUCAACAAAGUUAUCGCAAUGUUUGAAAAAAUGAGUGUUUCAUUCGGUACUAUCAACGGAUAAUAGUUUUAUUAAUAUUCUAUAGCGCGCAACAAUGCUCUGGAUCGGUUUGAGUAUAGAGUCAAAGACGCUAUGUCUAUCAAAAACUAACAGUGAAAUUCGAUAAACAUGAGACUAUCUGUUCAUCGGAUUUCAUAUUAUCUUUACGAUGUUUCGCUUUUUUAUUGAGAUUAGUCCUAGGUGUCUAACCU